ACUCCAAAGCCCGUGCCCUUCCCACUGAGCCACGCUAACCACAAGGAUGGGAGAUUUCGGGAGAGGCCAAUUUGUCUAUUUUUUCUGCCUCCAGGUUGAACCACCGGGAAACCAUCUAAAACAGAACAAAGGUCCACGGGCAGAGCGAGGGAGUUGCAAUCAACCAAUCAAUGAUAUUUAUCAAGUGCUGACUGAGGAGCACUGUACUAAGCGCUUGGGAGAGCACAGUACAAGAUAAUCAGUGGAGACAAUCCCUGACCAGCAGGAGCGUUGUGACUAGAAAUCACCUACAAAGCCCACCUGUGCAGUAUGAGAAGCAGCGUGGCUCAGUGGAAAGAGCCCGGGCUUGGGAGUCAGAGU